rnacentral:rRNA from 1 species
CCCUUAGACGUUCUGGGCCGCACGCGCGCUACACUGACCAGUGCAACAAGCAUCCGUCCUUGGCCGACAGGCCCGGGCAAACUUUGAACGCUGGUCGUGAUGGGGAUAGACUUUUGCAAUUUUUGGUCUUCAACGAGGAAUUCCUAGUAAACGCAAGUCAUCAACUUGCAUUGAUUACGUCCCUGCCCUUUGUACACACCGCCCGUCGCACCUACCGAUUGAAUGGUCCGGUGAAGCCUCCGGAUUGGCGCGCACCUCGGUGCCGCCGAGAAGUUGGCUAAACCUUACCAUUUAGAGGAAGGUGAAGUCGUAACA